rnacentral:rRNA from 1 species
AUUAGAGUUUGAUCCUGGCUCAGAACGAACGCUGGCGGCGUGCCUAAUACAUGCAAGUCGAGCGGACAGAUGGGAGCUUGCUCCCUGAUGUUAGCGGCGGACGGGUGAGUAACACGUGGGUAACCUGCCUGUAAGACUGGGAUAACUCCGGGAAACCGGGGCUAAUACCGGAUGGUUGUCUGAACCGCAUGGUUCAGACAUAAAAGGUGGCUUUGGCUACCACUUACAGAUGGACCCGCGGCGCAUUAGCUAGUUGGUGAGGUAACGGCUCACCAAGGCAACGAUGCGUAGCCGACCUGAGAGGGUGAUCGGCCACACUGGGACUGAGACACGGCCCAGACUCCUACGGGAGGCAGCAGUAGGGAAUCUUCCGCAAUGGACGAAAGUCUGACGGAGCAACGCCGCGUGAGUGAUGAAGGUUUUCGGAUCGUAAAGCUCUGUUGUUAGGGAAGAACAAGUGCCGUUCAAAUAGGGCGGCACCUUGACGGUACCUAACCAGAAAGCCACGGCUAACUACGUGCCAGCAGCCGCGGUAAUACGUAGGUGGCAAGCGUUGUCCGGAAUUAUUGGGCGUAAAGGGCUCGCAGGCGGUUUCUUAAGUCUGAUGUGAAAGCCCCCGGCUCAACCGGGGAGGGUCAUUGGAAACUGGGGAACUUGAGUGCAGAAGAG